rnacentral:rRNA from 1 species
GGCUUAAUACAUGCAAGUCGAGGGGCAGCAUAGGUAGCAAUACUUGAUGGCGACCGGCAAACGGGUGCGGAACACGUACGCAACCUUCCUUUAAGUGGAGAAUAGCUCCCGGAAACGGGAAUUAAUACUCCGUAACAUUAUGAUGUGGCAUCACUUUAUAAUUAUAGAUUUAUCGCUUAAAGAUGGGCGUGCGCCUGAUUAGGUAGUUGGCGGGGUAACGGCCCACCAAGCCUUCGAUCAGUAACUGGCGUGAGAGCGCGACCAGUCACACGGGCACUGAGACACGGGCCCGACUCCUACGGGAGGCAGCAGUAAGGAAUAUUGGUCAAUGGACGCAAGUCUGAACCAGCCAUGCCGCGUGGAGGAUGAAGGUCCUCUGGAUUGUAAACUUCUUUUAUUUGGGACGAAAAAAGAUCAUUCCUGAUCACUUGACGGUACCAGAUGGAUAAGCACCGGCUAACUCCGUGCCAGCAGCCGCGGUAAUACGGAGGGUGCAAGCGUUAUCCGGAUUUACUGGGUUUAAAGGGUGCGCAGGCGGAUAUGUAAGUCAGUGGUGAAAUCUCCAGGCUUAACCUGGAAAUUGCCGUUGAUACUAUAUAUCUUGAAUGCUGUGGAGGUAAACGGAAUAUGUCAUGUAGCGG